rnacentral:rRNA from 1 species
UACAGAGGUGGCAAGCGUUGUUCGGAAUUACUGGGCGUAAAGCGUGCGCAGGCGGUUCGUUAAGUUCGUUGUGAAAGCCCCGGGCUCAACCUGGGAACUGCAAUGGAAACUGGCGGGCUUGAGUGCGGCAGAGGGGGGUGGAAUUCCGCGUGUAGCAGUGAAAUGCGUAGAGAUGCGGAGGAACACCGAUGGCGAAGGCAGCCCCCUGGGCCGACACUGACGCUCAGGCACGAAAGCGUGGGGAGCAAACAGG